rnacentral:piRNA from 1 species
UGCUUAUGGAGAUAAUAAAAC